rnacentral:rRNA from 1 species
AUACGGAGGGUGCAAGCGUUAAUCGGAAUUACUGGGCGUAAAGCGCGCGUAGGUGGCUUGAUAAGCCGGUUGUGAAAGCCCCGGGCUCAACCUGGGAACGGCAUCCGGAACUGUCAAGCUAGAGUGCAGGAGAGGAAGGUAGAAUUCCCGGUGUAGCGGUGAAAUGCGUAGAGAUCGGGAGGAAUACCAGUGGCGAAGGCGGCCUUCUGGACUGACACUGACACUGAGGUGCGAAAGCGUGGGUAGCAAACAGGAUUAGAUACCCUGGUAGUCCACGCCGUAAACGAUGUCGACCAGCCGUUGGGUGCCUAGUGCACUUUGUGGCGAAGUUAACGCGAUAAGUCGACCGCCUGGGGAGUACGGCCGCAAGGUUAAA